rnacentral:lncRNA from 1 species
UAUUACCUUAUAAAGCAUUUUUAGUAAAAUGCUGAAUUUUAAAUCGGUGUUUAGUAUCAAUUUAUGCAUUAAAGUAAAGACUAUCUGGUCAACCAUUGAAAAAUUCAACGCAUUGAUUUAAGGGGGUAUUGUUUUGACUGAGCUCCUUCCCUUAACUGGGCUUUUCCCCAUAUCUCGACUAUCUGUUCGUUGUUCAUAUAAACCCGUCAUACUCUAUCUCUACUUAAAAAGAGGUAUAAUAUCCCGAUCCCCCCUUCUCUCUCUCUUUGUAUGUGUUUUUUAAAAACAGAACCAAAUCUCUUUGAUUUCGGAUUUCACUGAUCGAACAAUGGCUUAUUUUCCCAAAGGUUGUUCUUCACAUUUGCUUAUCUGAAAGCGCCUCCAAGCUCCUGUUUGUGCCUUCUUCAUCGAUGCGCCAACCUCUGCUUACGGCUUCCAACCCAGGUAAAAGAUAUCAAAAUUCACCGUACUGAUUUCAGGCUUUCUUCAUCGAUUUUGGGUUAUUGUACGUUUCGAUUUUCUGUAUUGACUGUGGAUUUUCUUCUUCUUCAUACUGAUUUUAGGUCGUUUCUAUUCUAAUCGGCUUGAAAAGGUUUGAUUUUUUACCUUUCUAUUCUUUCGGUACUAAUUUCAAGCCUUCUUCAUCGAUUUUGGGUUAUUGUACGUUUUCGAUUUUCUGUAUUGGCUGUGGAUUUUCUUAUUCUUCCUAUUGAUUUUAGGUCAUUUCUAUUCUAAUCGGCUUGAAAAGGUUUGAUUUUUUUACCAUUCUAUUUUUCGGUUUAUUUUUUAUCUACUAUCGAUAUGAAGAUAUGCAAAAGUAUGUUUGAAUGUAUAAAUUUUACCUCGAACAAAUCCUUUCAUGAUUUUUUUUAAUCUUGAUGCUUUGGUUUUGGUUUAAUGGACGAAACUGUUUUAUAGGCUCUCUUUUAAAGAUGCACAUCAAGUGUUCGAUGAAAUUCCUAAAAGAAACCGGAUCCAUUUUCAACCUUUGAUGCCACUUAACUUUUUUUUUUCAAUAAUGAAAUACAGGCCACUGAAACACUAGACUAUUGUUAUCAAGCCUUAUUUGAUGUCUUAUCUGACUUUUCUUUUUGAUUGUUUGGGAUGAACAUCUUAUAUUUUUUUUAAUAUCGGUUUUCCAAACAUCUAUAAAAUGUGUGAAUUUAUUGUGUCAAGUUUUGAUAUUUCUUGAUAAAGUUUGAUAGAGUAUUAAAUUAUCAUGAUGCGUUGUGACUAGCAGGAUAGAAAACUGAUGAGAAGGAUUUAGUUUAAGUAUGAAAUUAUUUUUAUACUUUGUUGUCAUUGUUAGUUGAUCAAUGAGAAAAGGCAGAGGAGAAAGAACAUAAAAAUAAAAAAGGACCAGUCUCAUUGUUUCUUAUUUUCCAGCCAAGUUUCAUGAGCUUUCGAUUUCAAAUUCGUGAAACUGUUGGUAUGUUGCACGUUUCAAGUACAAGGUGCUCCCUCUAAUUGUGAAAAUCAACAUUGAAAUAAAUGAUGAAAAUAUUCCCCUAUAUAGAAGCUCUCCUUUUCUGUAGGUAGAUUUCCACAUUUAUCUUUUUAUGCAGUUUCACUUUCUGUAUGUUUACUCUCUCUUACGUUAGCUCUGAGCACUUGGUGUUUUAUUCUUCUUUUACAGCCUUCCCCUCCAUUUUUCUCUUGAUCACCUUAGUUAGUGAGUUUUUCCCAUCAUUUUUUGUUCAUAGAUUAACUCCAAGUUGAUUUAUUAAGCUUUAUAUUAUAUCAAUCGUCAUACCUGACCUUUCCUUUUCAGAGUAUGUGGAUGAACAAGAGAGUAUGUAUGUUGAAGAUUUUGUGAAAUUAGCUUGCAUCUUUACCUGUUUCGGUGCAUCUUAUCCCAACUUUUAACUUGGUAAUGCAUAGAAAAUGACCAUGUUCUAUUGAAUAUGGUGUCGACUCAUUGUUGGUGCCUAUGUAGCAAGUGAAGAUGCAAAAACAGUAGCCCAUCCAGGUAAGAUCAUUACAAAUGCUCCCUCUAAGUACAUUGCCGUGAAAGUAAUUUGUUAUUUAGAGCAAUUAAUGUACUUCCAUUAAUUUGUUUAUUAUAUCAUUCUACUUUAAUAAUGAUAAUAAUUUUUUUUCAGUUUAUUUUUUAAAUUUUUUUUUUUUCAAGUUUAUGUUAUUUUCAAUUGGAGUGAUUGCAACUGUAACAUGUCAUGUGUGGUAGAGGUGGUCAUGGCAAAAAGAGUUUGUAAGCCGUCCAGACAACCGGUUUGGUCUGGCUUAGGUACUUUUUUUUUUUUUUUUACUGAAUUUGAUGAGAUAAAGCAGAAGAAGAACCUUGCACAAACACAUGGAAGUGUGUUGGAAUUUCUAGCAUUUACCUUUUCUCUAAGUUUUUGUCAUAAAAAUAUGUAACCCACAUCUUCAUUUUAUUUGUUUGACCCACCAAGGGUAAAAUCGUCAUUAAUGAACUUUAUGGACAUCUGCAUUUUAUUUUGCUCAACAACCAGUUGAACUUGCAGGAGUAUAAUGGUUUUUUGGAGGGAAACAUGUUGGUCAAUUGCAUAGAUGGUUGAAAUAUUAAUAACAUAAAUACCCUUAUACCACUCAACUCUCAUAUUUGUUUAUUUUUUGCCCCUUUUUUGUUUAUGGCUUUGUCAUUACCAAUUUUAUUGCUUCAUUAUCUUGCAUAUAUAAAUUCUUUUUAUAGGGAUGCAGUUGUUACCUAACCAAGAAGAUUAAUAAAAUACCCCAUGGGUAAAAUGUUUCUCUUUUAGUAAUGUGGUAUUCAUUUUGAAUGCAGAGCAUGGUGUUCAAAAAAAGGAAAACCAACAUAUCCUCUCCCAUUACCAAGCUUUAUUUUGAAGGAAAAAAAAAAAGACAAAUUGAAUAAAAAUGUGACUAUAAAUGGGGUCAAAAAAAGUUCUUGCGUAUUUGAAAUGUUGCUUAAACAUUAUUCAGAAUGUUUAUUUCAAAAGCUUAAAUAUUUCAAUUCCUAAUAAGUUUACCCUAUCAUCAAACACACUUUUUAUAUAGCUAAGUUUACAAGGACAAAAAGUGAUUACAUGCAUUGCUCAAUAAAAAAAUUAUAAUGUGUUUAGGAGUCGAAAUUGAGGACCAUGAUUAUUUUUACAGGUCAAAUUAGGAUUGCUAAAUGUGUUAUUUAUGCUACAUACUAUUGUUAACCAUUUCGAGGAGCAAGUGACACCGUUUUAUGUCAUUUGGCAUGCUUAUAUCAUUGUAAUAUCAUUCGAAUAGUUAUGUAGAAGUAUAUGGUGCAUCACAUUGAUGUUUAAAUUUAUCUCAUAGUUGAAAAUAUAUGUUAUAAUAAGUUAUUAAAUUCAUACAAAAUUAGUCAUUCAAAUAUUUAUUAAAAACCUUCCAAAACUGAUAUAUACUAACUUUGCUAGAAAAUGAUAUGAAUUUCCUGCGUUAUAUUUUUCCUUAGAAAUUUUGAUUUAGUUAGUUAAAAUUGUGUUACAAUAUUGUUGUUUAACUAAAUAGAAUAAGACAUAUUUGUUUGUUUUAAAUUUGUUAAUUAAGUUGUAUUUUCCGGUAAAAGUUUGAGCAAUCAGUUUUAUAAUUAAAAUAGUUAUUAUUUAGGAUAAAAUCUCAAAAAAUAUUUAUUUUGACGUGUAAAACGUGGAAUUUGUUCCUACACUAUUUUUAUUACACACAAUAUAAAAAGUUGUUAUUUUUUACACCUUUUUUAUACCAUUUUCACCCUUUUAAUAAAUAAAUUUAUAAAAGAAACACUAAUUUAUA